GGGGACGUAAACAGACUAGCAUCCGUUGUGUAGCAAUGUUUGGGAACAAAGACACACACGCACACAUAUAAACAUAUAUAUGACUGGAGUUUUCCAGUUUCCUUCCACCAAAUCCAAUCACAAGGCUUUGGUCGGCUCGGGGCUAUAGUAGAUUUUUCUGGUGUGUUUUCCUCCCUGUAUUUCAGCGGCUCGGCAGAAAAGAAUAAGUUAGAAUAAAUACUAGGCUUAGAAAAAAAUAAGUGCUGCCUCGUUCACCCAUCAUGCGUCCAUACAAACAUGCCUCGUUCACACAUCAUGCGUCCAUACAAACAUGCCUCGUUCACACAUCAUGCGUCCAUACAAACAAGCCUCUUUCACACAUCAUGCGUCCAUACAAACAAGCCACGUUCACACAUCAUGCGUCCACUCAUACACACCUGGUUCACACAUAAUGCGUCCAUUCAAACAAGCCUCGUUCACACAUCAUGCGUCCAAACAACCAAGCCUCGUUCACACAUCAUGCGUUCAUACAAACAAGCCUCGUUCACACAUCAUGCGUCCAUACAAAUAUGCCUCGUUCACAUAUCUUGCGUCCAUACAAACAAGCCUCGUUCACACAUCAUGCGUCCAUACAUAGAUAUUCAUACAUUCAGGGACAUGUAAUUCAGGGACAUGUAAUUCAGGGACAGGUAAUUCAGGGGAAGGUAAUUCAGGGAAGGUAAUUCAAGGCAGGUAAUCCAGGCGCAGGAAAUUCAGGGGCAGGUAAUCCAGGUGCAUGUAUUUCAUGGACAAGUAAUUCAGGGGCAUGUAAUUAAGGGGCAGGAAAUUCAGGGACAUGUAAUUCAGGGACAUGUAAUUCAGGGGCAGGUAAUUGAGGGGCAUGUAAUUCAGGGGUAUGUAAUUCAGGGUCAGGUUAUUCAGGUGUAGGUUAUUCAGGGGCAGGUAAUCCAGGGUUAAGUAAUUAAGGGGCAUGUAAUUCAGAGCAAGGUAAUUCAGAGGCAGUUAAUUGAGGGGCAUGUAAUUCAGGGGCAGGUAAUUCAGGUGCAGGUAAUUCAGGGGAAUGUAAUUCAGGUGCAUGUAAUUCAGGGGCAUGUAAUUGAGGUGCAGGUAAUUGAGGGGCAUAUAAUUCAGGUGUAUGUAAUUCAGGGGCAUGUAAUUUAGGGAAGGUAAUUCAGGGGCAGGUAAUUCAGGGGUAAUUCAGGGACAGGUAAUUUAAAGGAAUGUCAUUCAUGGGCUGGUGAUUGAGGGGCUUAGGGUAUUCAGGGUUAGGUAAUCCAGGGUAUGUAAUUCAGGGGCAAUUAAUUCAGAUGAAAGGUAAUUCAGGGGCAGGUAAUCUAGGUGCAGGUAAUUUAGGGAUAGAUAAUUCAGAGGCAUGUCAUUCAGGUGCAUGUAAUUAAGAGGCAUGUAAUUGAGGGCCAUGUAAUUCAGGUGUUUGCAAUUCAGGGGCAGGUAAUUCAGAUGCAUGUACUUUAGGUGCAGGUACUUCAGGGGUAUGUAAUUCAGGGGCAGGUAAUUCAGGUGUAUGUUAUUCAGGGGCAGGUAAUUCAGGGGCAUGUAAUUAAAGGGCAGGUAGUUCAGGGGCAGGUAAUUGAGGGGCAUGUCAUUCAGGGGCAUGUAAUUUAGGGGCAGGUAAUUCACGGGCAUGUAAUUCAGGUGUAUGUGAUUCAUUGGCAGGUAAUUCAUUGGCAUGUAAUUUAGGGGCAGGUAAUUCACGAGCAUGUAAUUCAGGUGUAUGUAAUUCAGGGGCAGGUAAUUCAGGUGCAGGUUAUUUAGGGACUCAGGGGCAUGUAAUUGAGGGGAAGGUAAUCCAGGUGCAGGUGAUUUAGAGGAAUGUCAUUCAUUGGCAGGUAAUUCAGAGGAAUGUAAUUCAGGGGCAUGUAAUUCAGAUGAAAGGUAAUUCAGGGGCAGGUAAUUUAUAGGAAUGUCAUUCAUGGGCAGGUAAUUCAGGGGCAGGUAAUUCAGGGUUAGGUAAUUCAGGGGCAGGUAUUUCAGGGGCAUGUCAUUCACGGGCAGGUAAUUUAGGGAUAUUCAGAGGCAGGUCAUUCAGGUGCAUGUAAUUAAGAGGCAUGUAAUUGAGGGGCAGGUAAUUCAGGUGUUUGUAAUUCAGGGGCAGGUAAUUCAGGGUCAGGUUAUUUAGGGUUAGGUUAUUCAGGGACAGGUAAUUCAGGGGCAGGUAAUUCAGAUGUAUGUUAUUCAGGGGAAGGUAAUUCAGGGGCAGGUAAUCCAGGGGCAGGUAGUUCAGGGGCAUGUAAUUCAUGGGCAGGUAAUUGAGGGGCAUGUAAUUCAGGGGCAUGUAAUUGAGGGGCAUGUAAUUCAGGUGUAUGUAAUUCAGGGGCAUGUAAUUCAUGGGUGGGUAAUUCAGAGGAUUGUCAUUCAGGGGCAGGUAAUUCAGGGUUAGGAAAUCCAGGGGCAUGUAAUUCAGGGGUAAUUCAGGGACAGGUAAUUUAGAGGAAUGUCAUUCAUGGGCAGGUAAUUCAGGGGCAGGUAAUUUAGGGUAAUUUUGGGGAUAGAUAAUUCAGAGGCAUGUCAUUCAGGGGCAGGUCAUUCAGGGGCAGGUAAUUCAGGGGAAGGUAAUUGAGGGUCAGGUUAUUCAGGUGUAGGUUAUUCAGGGGCAGGUAAUCCAGGGUUAAGUAAUUAAGGGGUAUGUAAUUCAGAGCAAGGUAAUUCAGUGGCAGGUAAUUGAGGGGCAUGUAAUUCAGGGGCAUGCAAUUGAGGUGCAGGUAAUUCAGGGGCAUGUAAUUGAGGUGCAGGUAAUUAAGGGGCAUGUAAUUCAGGUGUAUGUAAUUGAGGUGCAUGUAAUUCAGGGGUAGGUAAUUAAGGGGCAGGUAAUUCAGGGGCAUGUAAUUCAUGGGUGGGUAAUUCAGAGGAAUGUAAUUCAGGGGCAUGUAAUUCAGGGGUAAUUCAGGGAAGGUAAUUUAAAGGAUUGUAAUUCAGGGUUAGGUAAUUCAGGGUUAGGUAAUCCAGGGGCAGGUAAUUCAGGGACAGGUAAUUUAGAGGAAUGUCAUUCAUGGGCAGGUAAUUCAGGGGUAUGUAAUUCAGUGGCUUGUAAUUAAGAGGCAUCUAAUUGAGGGCCAUGUAAUUCAGAUGUUUGCAAUUCAGCGGCAGGUAAUUCAGAUGCAUGUAAUUUAGGGGCAAGUACUUCAGGGGUAUGUAAUUCAGGGGCAGGUAAUUCAGAUGUAUGUUAUUCAGGGGAAGGUAAUUCAGGGGCAGGUAAUCCAGGGGCAUGUAAUUCAUGGGCAGGUAAUUGAAGGGCAUGUAAUUUAGGGGCAUGUAAUUUAGGGGCAGGUAAUUCAGGUGUAUGUAAUUCAGGUGCAUGUAAUUCAUGGGCAGGUAAUUCAGGGACAUGUCAUUCAGGGAAGGUAAUUCAGGGGCUGGUAAUUCAGGGGCAUGUAAUUCGGGCAUGUAAUUCAUGGGCGGGUAAUUGAGGGGAAGGUAAUCAAGGUGCAGGUGAUUUAGAGUAAUGUCAUUCAUUGGCAGGUAAUUCAGGGGCAGGUAUUCAGAGGAAUGUAAUUCAGUGGCAUGUAAUUCAGGGGAAGGUAAUUAAGGGACAGGUAAUUUAUAGGAAUGUCAUUCAUGGGCAGGUAAUUCAGGGGCAGGUAAUUCAGGGGCAUGUAAUUCAUGGGCAGGUAAUUGAGGGGCAUAUUCAGGGGCAUGUAAUUUAGGGGCAGGUAAUUCACGGGCAGGUAAUUCACGGGCAUGUAAUUCAGGUGUAUGUAAUUUAUGGGCAGCUAAUUCAGGGGUAUGUAAUUCAGGGGAAUGUCAUUCAGGGGCAGGUAAUUCGGGCAUGUAAUUCAUGUGCGGGUAAUUGAGGGGAAGGUAAUCCAGGUGCAGGUGAUUUAGAGUAAUGUCAUUCAUUGGCAGGUAAUUCAGGGGCUGGUAAUACAGAGCAAUGUAAUUAAGGGAAGGUAAUCCAGGGGGGAGGUAAUUUAUAGGAAUGUAAUUCAUGGG
rnacentral:lncRNA from 1 species